rnacentral:rRNA from 1 species
UACGUAGGGGGCUAGCGUUGUCCGGAAUCAUUGGGCGUAAAGCGCGCGUAGGCGGUCAGGUAAGUCCGGUGUGAAAGUCAAAGGCUCAACCUUUGAAUGCCGCUGGAAACUGCCUGACUUGAGUCCGGUAGGGGCGAGUGGAAUUCCUGGUGUAGCGGUGAAAUGCGCAGAUAUCAGGAGGAACACCAAUGGCGAAGGCGGCU